GUCGUCUGAGAGACAUCGAACGAGGGGUACAUCGACUGAACAUACAUUGCGAUUCAAUAUUCAGUAUUUUAUGACCGUGAUUGCAAUCCAAAUUUGCAUUUGAGCUCAGCAGUCGAGUGUGGUGCCAAAAAUACCAGAAGCGAUGUCCUAUAUACGGCCUUGACCAGAAGUGUUGCAUGCCCUGGAUGCAGAAAAACAAGAUUGAGAUGAGUGGAUCAAGAUGUAUCUUUCGUGCAGAUGUAUCAAGAUCCUUUCACUUAAGAUCCAUGCAGGCGCAAGCUUUGGAUGAACUUCUGCUUCUGCGGUCGGCAUUCUUACAGGAGAACCCAAGAUUCAUUGUACCUACCUGUAUGCAUUUCAAAACUGAAUAAUUGAUAGCAACAAGUAAAUAUUUGAAGUUGCAGCCAAAUGCUGUGCCUUCUCUGCUGCAAGAGCUACAUGUCACCAUUGAAGCAAGGACCAGCUCGACUCCUGCAGUAGGAGUCCAGCCUCGUCCAGUCGUCGCCGCUCGCCAAGACCAGCCGGACUCCUGCAAUAGGGGUCCAGGCUGACCCGUUCGUCCAGUAACCGCCGCUCGUCAGCACCAGCUGGGCUCCUGUAGUAGGGGUCCAGCCUCGUCCAGUCGCCGCCGCUCGCCAAGACCAGCUGGGCUCCUGUAGUAUGGGGCUAGGAUGGCCCGUUCAUCAACCGGUCCUGAAGUCACAUCGCCGUCAGCCAGCCGAACUCAGUACAUAAGUCACCAACCCUGAAUGUUGCCAGCCAAAGUCGGCAGUUUCCUUCGGACAGUCAUCUCACCAGUGUUGUACAGUGUACGAGGUUAGUGACGCAGUUAAAUGCGUCAAUUAAAUGCGAGGACGUGCGCUUGUAUGCAGCGUUUUGUCAUGUUGAGCUGCAUGGGUGUCGAUUUUCACCGAAUUGAGGGUGCCCACUGCCCGGGCGCAGCAAAUCCGCCGCUGCCUUAGCGGUGACCUUGACCCGCACCGUCUGUUGGGGCUCCAAAGCCAAGCCAGCCGAGCCGGCGGGGAAUCUAAAGAGCUUGAGCACCCCCAACCCGGCGGAAAUUGACACCUAUGUUGAGCUGUAUGGAUGCGUUUUAGCCUUCCGCCGUGGUGGUAAAUAGCAGCCUACAUGCAGAAUUAGGCAGGCUUAUUAGCGGACUCAUUAUUGGAUUCAUUGUGUCACGUUUGUCGGCACGUGUAAGAUGUGCUUAACUGCCAUUAGCUCUCGGCCUGGCGACUUCUGGGGACCACGUAAUGGGGAU
rnacentral:lncRNA from 1 species